UUGGGAACCGUCAGUUUAAUUGGAAAAUUGAUGUUUCUUUGGGCUCCUGGAUUAAACAUACUAUAUUUUAAAGUGUUAGGAAAAAAAUACUCCUAGUACCUCGUUUCUCAAAGCAAUUGAAAUACUAGAGAAGGAAUAAGUAUUUUCUGUGCUAGAGACUUGCUUUCCAAGGCUGAUUUUGUUGUCAAAUAUGCAGCCAUCUAAUAUUUUGUUCGAAUUUUCCUUAGAGGUGGUGGUGUAAGGAGACCGCGUGUUGGUUCUGGGCUUCAGCUCGGCUUCAGCUCGACUUCAGGAGAGGUGACUGCUUGGGAGAAAUGUCUGGAGCCAAAGUUUGGAACAUUUUCUCCCUCCUUGUGAGACACAUUGGAGUUCUGGAAUAACAAACAGAUUGGAAACCCAUCUCUUUACAUAAUGUGGAAAUUCCUUCAUGAUUCAUCAGGUGACCCUGUUGGAAAGUCAAGCUUCCUUGUACAGCAAUCUCCAAGAUGCCUGGGACUCUUGACAUUUGGAUUUGAACAUUCUUUGGCACACCUGUGCACGUGCCACACUCCAUCCCUGCCAGGAUGCUUUUCAGUGUGGAAGGAUCUCCUCAACCUCAACACUCAGCUCAGAGGUCACUUCGUCUGUUUUGUUUCGUCUCCCCAGGCAUAGGUUACAAAAUGUUCACUGAGUGGCCAGAAAUGACAGGCAAAGUGGAUGAGCUGAAGAGUGCACAUAUUUUCUCAGAAGGCAUAGGCAGAGAAGGACUAUCAAAUAAUGUAACGGUUUCAACAUCUCCACUUGGAUUUAUACAUCCAGUUGAGCAUGAGGCCCUCCGUUAA
rnacentral:lncRNA from 1 species